GGGGCAUUAGCUUUGAGAGCAGCAGCAGCCAGGAGUCAUCCGCUGAUGACACCGAGUCCACUGCUUCAACUUUAAUCUUGGAAAGAUCACCACAGUCGAUAGGCCGAUAGGCUGAACAAGUGGAUGGAGGGCCUAAAACGACUGACAGCGCACAGAACCAGGCAAGACACUACAAAGUUCUGCAGGAGCUAUACAAAUCCAGGCCCAGACUCAACAACAAGGAUGUUGCCCAGCUGUUGGACCUUGAAUACCAAGCAAGAUGGGCUUAUAUUGACUCUGCUGUUAUAAAGGAGCAGGACAGGCCUACCAAGAUUCUUGAAGCAUAUCCCUGCUUCAGAGAAGUGGAUCAUAUAAAGUGCAAUCAAGGAAACUCCCACUUCAUACCUGAACUGAAGGACCGCUGGGGGACCUUUUGUGAGAGGGCCCAGUUUUAUGGAGUUUUCAAAAAAGUCAUGAGGCCUCCGUUGGCAAAUAAAGUCUGUGGAAGACCCCAACACUUUUCUUCAGGCAAGACCACUCUUCAGCCCUGUGGUCAUUGUCUGCGAAACCAACUGCAUACUGGCCAUUGGAACCAUGCCUGUGCUGAUCUUCCCAAAAGAGGACAUCUCUGACAGUGUGAUCAUGGCAUGUUACUACACAUUUCACCUUACAUAUCCCAAGCGCAUAGCCACACUCCUCUCUGUGCUGCAGACAGAGGUCCUCAUGGAUGCCAUCCACGACCGAGACAUGACUUCCUCAUAUAAAAAAGCUAUGGCUGAGUGGAAGAAGUUUAUCACUGAGUAGAACAUUAGUAAAAAGGUUGAUGCCCUGUUCGCGCACCGAAUUCACUAAGGCCAACUUUGACGGCACGCCACGGACACGCCCUUCAACGUACAUGCACAAAUAGCACAACUUUUAAUCAGCACCAUUUUUUGCAUUGAUCCGAUAAAUUCCCUAGGAAGAGUUCGUUCAAAUACAACGCGAAAAGUUCGCUGAAAUUGAAAUUUUAUAUCAAAAUAGCGGACUUCCUGUAGGGUUUCGGGUAUGGGUCCAAGAGGCUUUUUUGUACGUCCUGGCAUGUUACACGUGCCUACCAAGUUUUGUACAUAUCAGUGAAACGUGGCGCCGGGGCUGCGGUUUUUUUAUCCUGUAGGGGGCGCUACAAACACAACAAACACGAUUUUUGGUAUGUGAGCUUCAGGCACCACUCUACACGUGCCCUGUGAAUUUCAUAUUCAUAACUAUUACGGUCUCCGCACAGUGAUUUACCAUGCCUCCAGAGCGCCACCUAGUGGCGGAUUUUUGACACAUUUUUUAGCAAGCCUCAGGGAGCCAUGGGCAAGCAUCGUACCAAGUUUCAUUUCAAUCACACGUGCCGUUAUGGAGAUAUAAACUUCUUUAUUUUAAAGAGCGCCACCUAGAGGCGAUGGCCUGAAAUUGUGCACGAUGCCUAAGGAAGACAUGGGGAACUAAGGACCCAAGUUUGAUGUCAAUUGGACAUACCAAUGUGGAGAAAUGGUCAACUUCCUUUUUUGACAAAAAAUCUACAGGAAGUUAGAAUUUUAUAGCGUUCUUAUUUUUUGAAAUUUCAAAAAUGUUCAAAUUACUCUUUUUGCCAGGGUGGUCCCCAGGUGCUAGGUGAAAAAAAAAGGAACACGAAAAAGUAUUUUAAGGACAUUUCACGCUCUAACGAACAAAAAUUAUAGGCGGGGCCUGUAUGGGGA
rnacentral:lncRNA from 15 species